ACUCUUUUUCUCUCUAUUUUUCUCUCCUUAGAUCUGAUCACAUCAGAUUUGGGUGUUGGGGUGAAGGGAAGAGAGAAGAUGGUACGAGGAAAAAUAAGUUGAAUGUCUUAAAGAAGCCAUUCCACACAUCUCAAGCUAAAACCUCACACGCCCUAAUUUUUGUCACACACAACCUUUUUAAUCACAUGCCAAAACACUUCCUAAUGCCCUGUUAGAUCAAAUCUCAUUUGAUCUUAGGCAUUCAAAUCCAAAGGGAUGGAUUAGAUGCGUUGAGAUUAAGUUGUCCGACAAGAAAGGGGACUCCCA
rnacentral:lncRNA from 1 species